rnacentral:rRNA from 1 species
AAAGGGAGCGUAGGCGGGUCGUUUAGUUGGGGGUGAAAUCCCGGGGCUCAACCUCGGAACUGCCUUCAAUACUGGCGACCUUGAGUAUGGGAGAGGUGAGUGGAACUCCGAGUGUAGAGGUGAAAUUCGUAGAUAUUCGGAAGAACACCAGUGGCGAAGGCGACUCACUGGCCCAUUACUGACGCUGAGGCUCGAAAGCGUGGGGAGCAAACAGGAUUAGAUACCCUGGU